rnacentral:lncRNA from 1 species
GCGUACGGUGCUGUAUUUAUUUUACUUAUUUAAAUAUAAGUACUGUAUACGCAUUGUUAGUUUAAAUAACUUAAUACAGAGGUUUUGCUCGAUAUAAACGAAUCCAUUCUUUGGAAUACAAAUCUCACAUUGAUCGAACCCAUCAUCCAUAUUCUAAAGUAGGGUCUGCAGGUUGAAAGUUGAUCGGAUGCAAGCGAGAGUGUUGAUCGGAAGAGUCCAUUUAUAUCAUUUCGGGUUGGUUAGUCGUUCGGAUCAUUUUUGUGAACUUAUUUCGGUGUUAAUAAAUAUACACUCCGAUUUCAUCAUCAUAUUUAUGGCUCUUUAUUAUAAACAGAUGUUUAAAAUUUAUUUUUGUUACAGAUUUCGUUACAUUUUAUUCCACAUCCGUUUAUUUUUCUAGUUCCAAUUAAUAACCGAGUUUGUUUUCCAGUCUUUGUCUAAUUAAAGAAAAUGUGGAGUAAAUUUACCGUCAAAUUAAUAAUUUUGAUUUAGUUUUUUGAAUUUGA